rnacentral:rRNA from 1 species
GGAAACCGGCGAACGGGUGAGUAACACGUGAGAAACCUGCCUCUUAGAUCGGGAUAGCCCGAGGAAACUCGGAUUAAUACCGAAUACUCUCUUUGGACCACAUGGUCCGUUGAGGAAACAGUCCGCUGCUAAGAGAUGGUCUCGCGGCCUAUCAGCUAGUUGGUGAGGUAACGGCUCACCAAGGCUAAGACGGGUAGCUGGUCUGAGAGGACGAUCAGCCACACUGGAACUGAGACACGGUCCAGACUCC